rnacentral:rRNA from 1 species
GGCCCCGCAUGGGGAUAUUUGCUAAAGAUUCAUCGCUGAUAGAUAGGCUUGCGUUCCAGUUACGCAGUUGGCGGGGUAACGGCCCACCAAACCGACGAUGGAUAGGGGUUCUGAGAGGAAGGUCCCCCACAUUGGUACUGAGACACGGACCAAACUCCUACGGGAGGCAGCAGUGAGGAAUAUUGGUCAAUGGGCGUAAGCCUGAACCAGCCAAGUCGCGUGAAGGAUGAAGGUUCUAUGGAUCGUAAACCUCUUUUAUAAGGGAAUAAAGUGCGGGACGUGUCCCGUUUUGUAUGUACCUUAUGAAUAAGGAUCGGCUAACUCCGUGCCAGCAGCCGCGGUAAUACGGAGGAUCCGAGCGUUAUCCGGAUUUAUUGGGUUUAAAGGGUGCGUAGGCGGCCUUUUAAGUCAGCGGUGAAAGUCUGUGGCUCAACCAUAGAAUUGCCGUUGAAACUGGGGGGCUUGAGUAUGUUUGAGGCAGGCGGAAUGCGUGGUGUAGCGGUGAAAUGCAUAGAUAUCACGCAGAACCCCGAUUGCGAAGGCAGCCUGCCAAGCCAUUACUGACGCUGAUGCACGAAAGCGUGGGGAUCAAACAGGAUUAGAUACCCUGGUAGUCCACGCAGUAAACGAUGAUCACUAGCUGUUUGCGAUACACUGUAAGCGGCACAGCGAAAGCGUUAAGUGAUCCACCUGGGGAGUAC